CUAUUAUCCACAUCUACUGAACCCGUGUAUCCUGUUUUGAUUCUGAUCUCAACUCCAGCUAAAUGGGCAGCAGAACUCAUUCUGGAAGCCUGUGGGCACAGCCUGUAGGAUCAAAAGUGGACCCCCUCAGCCAAACCGGUUCAAUCACAUUCUCUAGACACAGGAUUUAGAAUCAGAGUCAGAGGUUCUAUGAUGUAAUGACCAUGUAUAUCAGCUCAAACUAGGACAUGGAAGCAGUCUACUUCUGUGAAUAUGGUUUCUGUUUGGAAGCAAGUAAGGAAUACACCUCAUCCAAGACAACUAACAGAUCUUAACAAUUAGGUCAAGUAUUUGAACCUUGUCUCAAAUUAGAGAAAGGAGGAUGUAGACUGAGCUGACCACAUUUCCACAGAAAAGUAGAGACAGAACAGAACAAAGCAUGAGAGAGAAAACUGUGUUCCAGUUUUUUGUUCAUGCCUUUGUGGAGCAGGAACUAUUUUUCCUCACCUUUGUUUGACAUGGGCUGUAUUAUCCAGAGCUUGGAAAAACAGGAUGCAUUUUGGAGGUUUAUUUGGAGAAUAAAAUAUGCCCUUACCAAUUAAUGAUAUAAAGGCAAAAAUGAAAAACAACUUGAAUAAAAC
rnacentral:lncRNA from 1 species